rnacentral:lncRNA from 1 species
AAGCGAACACCUUUAAUAUAUAGCACUUCUUCAUACAUUCAUUUUUAAUGUGUUAUAAAAGACAACAACAUUGUUCAAUUGGUUAUAUUUUUAUAUGUUCGUUCUUUGAAUUUGUGCAGAUUAGAUGCAAUCACUCUUGCAUUUAUUGUAAGUAUGAUUACAUGCUAUAAGACAAUCAUCAUGAGCAUCCCUCUUUGUAAUGUGGUAUUCGUUUGGUUCGUCCCUUUUUCCUACAGUGCCACUACCUGGACAGUGGUGAACACACGACGAAAAAUUGUGUUUACACUGAGUACACGUUGUUGCGCUACUGACCAUACUUGCAUUAAGUAUUAAGAAGACUAAUAUCACAAGCAUGGUAUACUUCAUUGUGGAGGUUUCUGUAAGUAGAUAUACAAUAAUACGAAUAAAAACUUUU